UACUACUACUACUACUACUACUACUAAUAGGAAAUACAGAACAGGUUGAGGAAGUUGUAUCUGGUGCUUUGCAGACUGAAACUCGGUGUCCAGUUCCAGUGACACGGACA